AAGUCGUAACAAGGUUUCCGUAGGUGGCAUGUUUGCCUGCUGGAAGCCCCGCAGCGACUCUAAAGAAGUGCCCUCAGUCGCGCCGAAUCCGGGCGCUGGCGACGCCAUCAUUCUGCGCCGGGGAGUCCCCCUUUUGCACGGGGACAACCAGCAGCUCCAGGCACCUCUGGAGUCUACAGAUCAAACGAUCGCGGCCACUCCGGUGGUUAAGAUAUGAUCGGCCUUGACCGUUAUCGGUCCAAAGUUUCGCGGAACCUGCGGAAGGAUCAUUAUCGAGAGGGGCCUCGUGCUCCCGGGGGUUUCGGCCCCUAACUCUUCACCCAUUGUUUAUCUACCUUUGUUGCUUUGGCGGGCCACGGGGUCUUCCCGCGCUGGCUCUUGGGCCGGCGAGCGCCCGUCAGAGGCCCAUCAAAUUCUGUUUAUUAGUGUUGUCCGAGUCAAACGCAAUAAGUAAAA
rnacentral:misc_RNA from 1 species